GACGAACGCUGGCGGCGUGCUUAACACAUGCAAGUCGAACGAUGAACCGGAGCUUGCUCCGGGGAUUAGUGGCGAACGGGUGAGUAACACGUGAGUAACCUGCCCUUGACUCUGGGAUAAGCGCUGGAAACGGCGUCUAAUACCGGAUAUGACAACUGACGGCAUCGUCUGGUUGUGGAAAGAAUUUCGGUCAAGGAUGGACUCGCGGCCUAUCAGCUUGUUGGUGAGGUAAUGGCUCACCAAGGCGACGACGGGUAGCCGGCCUGAGAGGGUGACCGGCCACACUGGGACUGAGACACGGCCCAGACUCCUACGGGAGGCAGCAGUGGGGAAUAUUGCACAAUGGGCGCAAGCCUGAUGCAGCAACGCCGCGUGAGGGAUGACGGCCUUCGGGUUGUAAACCUCUUUUAGUAGGGAAGAAGCGAAAGUGACGGUACCUGUAGAAAAAGCACCGGCUAACUACGUGCCAGCCGC
rnacentral:rRNA from 1 species